rnacentral:rRNA from 1 species
GGAAUAUUGGUCAAUGGGCGAUGGCCUGAACCAGCCAAGUAGCGUGCGGGAUGACGGCCCUAUGGGUUGUAAACCGCUUUUGCAGGGGAAUAAAGUGUGGUACGCGUACCGUUUUGUAUGUACCCUGAGAAUAAGGACCGGCUAAUUCCGUGCCAGCAGCCGCGGUAAUACGGAAGGUCCGGGCGUUAUCCGGAUUUAUUGGGUUUAAAGGGAGCGCAGGCUGAUUAUUAAGCGUGACGUGAAAUGUAGCCGCUCAACGGCUGAACUGCGUCGCGAACUGGUAGUCUUGAGUGAGUUCGAUGUUGGCGGAAUUCGUGGUGUAGCGGUGAAAUGCUUAGAUAUCACGAAGAACUCCGAUUGCGAAGGCAGCCAACAAGGCCUUUACUGACGCUAAAGCUCGAAGGUGCGGGUAUCGAACA